AACGGAUUGAUGCAUCACCAUGGGUAUCCCCAAUUGUUGUGACAGGAUGGAAAACUGGUGGAAUAAGGCUGUGUGCAGACCUCCAUGAACCAAACAAAACUGUGAUCACUGAUUGCUACCCCUUACCACAAGUAGAUGAAUUGUUUGCCAGCUUACAGGUGUCAUGGUCCGGGUGAGUGCUGGGUUUUCCUGCGUGCCAGUAAAUCCAUCACUGGGCAGAGUCACCACACCCCUUGUUUGUGGCACCUGUGUGUAAUUUGCUGGGUGGCUCUUAAGACCAGCGUUCUCAAACAUUCCUCGCCGGAACGUCAGCUAACCCACCUUCACAGUGGAUUGGAUCUUGCUGCCUGUAACCACUCAACUCCCCGUCGCUGGCCUGCUACUAUUCUUGGCGCUAUUCACCUGCCUGCCUCCCUGCCCUACACUUCACAGUGAGUGUACACGAACUGGUUUAGCCUCACUUGGACCACUAAUCCCCUCCUAGCCUCGCCGUCAACCCAGACAAUGACUCAGAGAAACCCUGCGACCCUGUACCUUGUAUGCCUGCUCCGGAAAAUCCCAAAUAACGUACCCAGCCCGAUAAAGAGAUUAUUUCCUUUUGGCUGUGCUGCUGCACACGCAGUGUGAUUCUUAUUUAUUUGGUUAAACAAUUAUUUUGGAGAUGGUCUAGCCAAGUCUUGUUUACUUUCUCAGCAUUCCUGGUAAAAGCUUAUCUGCUAGCCCUUGCUAAUCACAGUGUGUUUGUAGCUACAGAUUCUUAGUACCAUAAUCAGAAACUUUAUGUUAGUAGGUAGCCAAUGUUCAGAGGUUUAUAUUUUCCCUCUCGCCCUUAGUUCACGAUUAACAUUUUUGUUUCUUUUACCUCCUCCAUGGUGUGCCAUU